rnacentral:rRNA from 1 species
GGUUGUAGCUGGCUCAUGAAUUUGGGCAUGUGCACACCUAUCUCUUUCAUCCACACACACCUGUGCACUUGUGAGGCAGAUGGGGAAUUUAUUGAUUGUUUUUUAAGAACAAUUGGUGCUGGACCCUCUGUCUACUCAAUANAUAAACNCAAUUUAUUUAGAAAUGAAUGUAAUGGAUGUAACGCAUCUAAUACUAAGUUUCAACAACGGAUCUCUUGGCUCUCGCAUCGAUGAAGAACGCAGCGAAAUGCGAUAAGUAAUGUGAAUUGCAGAAUUCAGUGAAUCAUCGAAUCUUUGAACGCACCUUGCGCUCCUUGGUAUUCCUUGGAGCAUGCCUGUUUGAGUAUCAUGAAAUCUUCAAAGUAAAUCUUUUGUUAACUCAAUUGGUUCUACUUUGGUAUUGGAGGUCUUUGCAGCUUCACACCUGCUCCUCUUCGUUCAUUAGCUGGAUCUCAGUGUUAUGCUUGGUUCCACUCAGCGUGAUAAGUUAUCUAUCGCUGAGGACACUGUAACAGGUGGCCAAGGGAAAUGCAGAUGAACCGCUUCUAAUAGUCCAUUGACUUGGACACUAUUUUUAUGAUCUGAUCUCAAAUCAGGUAGGACUACCCGCUGAACUUAAGCAUAUCAAUAAGCGGAGGAA